rnacentral:rRNA from 1 species
AGUGAACGCUGGCGGUAGGCCUAACACAUGCAAGUCGAACGGCAGCACAGUAAGAGCUUGCUCUUACGGGUGGCGAGUGGCGGACGGGUGAGGAAUACAUCGGAAUCUACUUUUUCGUGGGGGAUAACGUAGGGAAACUUACGCUAAUACCGCAUACGACCUACGGGUGAAAGCAGGGGAUCUUCGGACCUUGCGCGAUUGCAUGAGCCGAUGUCGGAUUAGCUUGUUGGCGGGGUAAAGGCCCACCAAGGCGACGAUCCGUAGCUGGUCUGAGAGGAUGAUCAGCCACACUGGAACUGAGACACGGUCCAGACUCCUACGGGAGGCAGCAGUGGGGAAUAGUGGAAAAUGGGCGCAAGCCUGAUCCAGCCAUACCGCGUGGGUGAAGAAGGCCUUCGGGUUGUAAAGCCCUUUUGUUGGGAAAGAAAAGCAGCAGGUUAAUACCCCGCUGUUCUGACGGUACCCAAAGAAUAAGCACCGGCUAACUUCGUG